CGGGCCCGUUCAGGGAUUUUAGGACUUUGUCAUGGGAAAAUUUCUUAAUUCUCAUACAAUUUUUUUGCUAUAAAACUAAAUAUGCUAUUGUUUUGAAAAUGACAUGACGAGACAUUAAAAUGUAAUUUGUGGUCUAAUAAGUCACUAAACGCAUGCUGCGUGGUGAUUAACCUAUUUGGAUAAUGGCAUUUUUCAAAUAGUUUUUCAAACAAACAGGAUAUAUGUAUUUGAAAAGGCAAAAAAAAUGCAUACAAUGUACUAUCGAAGCACCAGAACUGGAUUCAAAGAUCUUUUUACAGCUGCAUUAUCAUCAGAAUUAAAAUUUAAUUUGCGGUUUAAUAAGUCAUUGGACAUCUGUUUAAUUACCUUGGGGCAUAUAUCUUUGCGUAAUUAAUAUUUACUGUCUAGUUUAUAAAUUAUGUUAAAGUAGAGUUGUUAAAGUAG